GUGAGACACAGUGAAAGACACAAAGUGCACAAAUCUUUAAGGGUGGUGAGAUAAUGUGGCUGCCACAUGAAGAUUAUAGGACACUUGUAUUAUUGGAUUACUCAAGGCCAUCAAAUCGCGAUCAAUCUCUGUGACAUGGUGCAAGUCUGAGAAGUAAGAUGAACAGAUUUUCCAUGUGUCUUACUCUUGGUAGAUUCAAUUCUGCACUUAUUGCUGCCAUUUUAAGCCUUGUCAGGGUCCCUUUAAAUAAAAACAAAACUUUCCUCAAAUGAUGAAUCACAUCAUCCCACCCAUUCUUUGGGAUUGGUCUAGGAAAUUUGGUGUGGAAUGAUAGAACCAAGACUCGGUGAAAGACUCUCUCCAAAGCCACGAAUUAAUUUAAUGUGGGUUCUCAGCCUGCUAAUGGUCCCAGCAUUUCACGGGACUAAAGUGCCGAAAAUUUCCUUCUCCUUCUGCUUCAGUUUUAAAAAUUCGAAUUGUUUGUCAACUCUCCUGUAUUUCAUACAUUGUUAAUCUGAUUGAAAGAGCUCACAAUGACAGCGCUUGGAUUUCAUGUAGUGAACCCAAUGCUACGAACGUUAAACUAGAGUGACUCAUCCCUUUUUUUUCCUCUCGAGUGAAGCAUGUGGCAUCUGCUCAGCUUCCCUUCCCCUCCCCCAUAUACAUCUGUGAAAAUAAAUCAUUGAAAGUGAAAUGGGAGCACAAAGCUACAUCCUUUUCUCUGACACCAUGACUGGGAUUGUUAAAUGGUUGGCGUCGAGAUGGAGGCAAGAUCCAGGAUCUUGGCUCAGGGAUUGUGGUAUUUUAAAUAAAUAAAUAGGCGCCCACUUUACCUUCUGCCACCCUAUAUCGGGAGCUCCCACUCGGCUCAAGCGAGUGAAUGGCCCUAAUCCAGCUCCUGCGUACUCUGAAGCACAUUAAUAAAUCAGAGCAGUGGAAGUUUUGAAGUGCUCUAAAUGAAGUUUUUAAAUUUAUGAAGCAACUUGUUCCAGGAAAAUGAAUCACUGUGGCAAAGGAUUCAAAUACCAAGGGCUGCUGUUAAAAAUGAAAAAGGACAAACAUCUUGAGUUGCCACCAUAAGCUGAGAGGGACUCUUGCUCAUCCCCGAAGAAGGCAGAGCCCUCACA